UCAUCUAUAGUACCCACACAUCA
rnacentral:misc_RNA from 1 species